GGAAUUCAUUGCUCUAUAAAUGUUAUAAACUGAACAGCCCACGUCUCCAAACCCCGCCCAUCACUGAUGUGUCAGCCAACCAGAACACGUAAAAAGCCAGUGCUUGUACUCUGAUUGGCUAAAAUUCUGUAGGCAGCUCCUCGGUUUUUUUAUUUAUUUAUUUAUUUAUUAUUAUUUUUUACAAAGUUAGUAUUUUACGGAAAGAAAUUUUAUUUCUCAAAACACACUUUUCAGUGUUAAAAGUCACAUAAUGCGGGCCUUUUGAUAUUUGUUAUAAAAAAUAAAAUAAUGAUAAUUUGAAGGUUUUUGUGUAACAGUCUCCGCCUGUCGGUGUUAAGGACUCACUGUCACUACUGAAGGUUUUAUUUUUGUACCUCGUUUCCUUGUCUCGUGCCCCCGCAGACAGGGAGAGAGAGAGAGAGCGCGCGCGCCGGGCUCCGGUACUGCCACGUAAUCUCAGUCGAGCCCCCGCUCGCUCACUCACUCAAAACUCAAAACCUCCGGGAACAGUGACAACGACUACGGAAAAUUAAAAACACACUGUACGAAACCCCUCCGGGCGGUGCACGGACUGCAGCGGACAUUGUCUUUUGGGUUUUCUCUCGGGAUCGCCGGUGACCCGCUGUGUGGAAACACUGAGCCAUGCGACAGUUGAAGGGCAAGCCGAAGAAGGAGUCGUGGAAGGACAAAAAGGAGCGCAAACAGGCCAUGCAUGAGGCGCGGGAGCAGGUGACAACCAUCGUUCUUCCGACGCUCGUCUUCCUCGUGCUGCUCAUCGUCCUCUUAGUCUACGUGGCUACGAGACCCGGAGCCAUCGAGGAGACAGACUCCAAAUAGCCAAAUGUCCUCUGCCCUUGUCUUUCUCUUACAUUUCCCCUUGUUCCUUUCCCAAUGCCAACUCCCCAAUGGACUCAAUCAUAAGGAUGAAUGGAUUGAUAAAGUAGUGGUUUUCUGUGCCAUGUUUGGAGUAUGUUGAAGGAGUCUUCCAUUUGGGCUUCUGACAGAGCACCUCUCCCAGCCACCAGCAUUCGCUUCUGUGGCGGCCAUGUUGGCUCCAAAUGCAUUUACAGGGUUCUAGUUUCAUGCCAAAGCACCUGAGAUACAGCAGACUCAGACUGACCCAGGAACCGGGCCAGAUCUGAUGCCUCUGUGCUCAAAGUCAGUACAAACGAGAAGUGAUUGUAGUAUUGCACAUGUCUGUAGCAUGCAAACUUAUGCAUACACACACACACAGAUACACAAAUGAACAUUUAUGGGUUCACAUGAAACCAUUAAUGACAGAAUUGUAUGUUACCUAAAAUGUAUACUUAUUGCUCACUACCAAAUGCCUUUUAACAAGCAGUUGCUGAUGUUUUUUGUUAAUGUGUGUGUGUGUGUGUGUGUGAGCAUAUGCACAUUGAAGUGAAUGUUCCUAUGACACAUCUGUGAUAUACAAUCCCAGCUGCAAAUGUACUCUUAUUUUAAAAUGUAUUCCAGCAGGACUUGGAUCUAAAAAUGUGCCUUAACUUUUAAUAACAUAACAGGAUUUAAAGUAUUAUUAAAGAAGUAGAAAGCCA